rnacentral:rRNA from 1 species
AUGGAGCUCACGAAGCAGGGGCGGCCGCCAUUGCCUUCGCGGCCGCGGAGAAGCUCCGUGCCCAUGACGAGCCAGCAGCCAGGGCGGCCGUCGCAGCCGUCGCCGCCGCCCAAGGCCAAUCCGCAGAUGCUCGAGUCCCUGAGAUCCAAACUCAGGGAGGCUCUGGCCGCUGCCUUGAGCAUCAUGGAUUCUGGGCAGCAAUCCUCUGGAAAUUCGGGUUCAGCUGGCGAGUACAGGAUCCGUAAGGCCCGAAGCCUAGCAUCUAACAUUGAAGAGGAGCUGUUCAAAUUGUUCGGAGGGGUCAGCAGGAAGUACAAGGAGAAAGGCGUGUCGCUCGUGUUUAAUCUGGAAGGUGAACACAAUCCCGUGCUGAGGGAAAUGGUUUUGUCCGAACAAAUAUCACCUAAAUGGUUGUGCGCAAUGACUAUUGGGGAGCUUGUAAAAAUGUUUCGGCUUAAGAUACAAGUUGAUGAUAGAGGCUUGGUGAGGAAACCACACAUGGGAGAAUUUCUAGUUGAGGAGGAAGAAACUGACGACGAUGUUUUUCGGGUAUCAGCUCGGCCUCGGGGUGAUUCACUUCCUUGUGUUGUUCCAUCAGAACCCAUUAUUGCAGCUCAAACCAAAUCUGAGGAUGAUAAAACAGCAAGUGCACAAUGCAGGGAGAUCGUCAAGGAAUUGGAAGGCAGUACUGUGCAAGAUGAUGAAGUUGUUGGGACGUGGAACAGCAACACAUCAAGUGAUUUAGAAUAUCUAGCGGGUGAGAUGAAUGAUCUUGUGCUGCAACCAAGGUAUGAUGUCUUGAAUGGGCCAGAGAUCGUCUCAUUCUCUGAUUUCCUGCGGAUCGUUGCUUCAGAACCACAUUCUAAACAUCGGCCCAUUGGUGCCCCGCUGCAAGAUGAUCGUAAUACUAACAAAGCUGAGAAAGUCAACUCAGCAAAUUUCCCCAAAACUAUGGACACGGCUGCUGAAUCAGAAUUCCAAUUUCAUUCUGACGGUGUGUCAUCUCCACAAGGUUACUGUCAAUCCAAGUUAGAAUCACCCAUAAACAAACCAGCUUCAGUUCGGGAUCCAGUUGAUGAACCAAAGGGAGAUGUGUUAGCCAAAUCCUGCCCACAAAUGGUGGAUGCUGAAGAAUCACGUGUUGUUAAUGGCUUGACUGCUGAAUUUGGUAUGCAGUGUGAGAUAACUCCUGAUGUUGCAUUGACGCAUGACAGUAUAUGGGAGGCAACGCUUCGACAAGAGUCUUCGCGCACAAAUAUUGUUGCUCUCUUCAAAAAGUUUGUUUCAUUAACCUUGCUUAUAGUAAUUGUACGCAAUUAA